rnacentral:rRNA from 1 species
UACGGAGGGGGCGAGCGUUAUUCGGAAUUAUUGGGCGUAAAGGGCGCGUAGGCGGCCGUCUAAGUCAAAGGUGAAAUCCCUCGGCUCAACCGAGGAACUGCGUCCAAAACUACUGUGCUCGAGGGAGACAGAGGUGAGCGGAACUUAGGGUGGAGCGGUGAAAUGCGUUGAUAUCCUAAGGAACACCCGUGGCGAAAGCGGCUCACUGGGUCUCUUCUGACGCUGAGGCACGAAAGCUAGGGUAGCGAACGGG